GACGAACGCUGGCGGCGUGCUUAACACAUGCAAGUCGAACGGAAAGGCCCUGCUUUUGUGGGGUGCUCGAGUGGCGAACGGGUGAGUAACACGUGAGUAACCUGCCCUUGAUUUUGGGAUAACUUCAGGAAACUGGGGCUAAUACCGGAUAGGAGCUCCCGCUGCAUGGUGGGGGUUGGAACGUUUCGGCGGUUGGGGAUGGACUCGCGGCUUAUCAGCUUGUUGGUGGGGUAGUGGCUUACCCAGGCUUUGACGGGUAGCCGGCCUGAGAGGGUGACCGGCCACAUUGGGACUGAGAUACGGCCCAGACUCCUACGGGAGGCAGCAGUGGGGAAUAUUGCACAAUGGGCGGAAGCCUGAUGCAGCAACGCCGCGUGCGGGAUGACGGCCUUCGGGUUGUAAACCGCUUUCGCCUGUGACGAAGCGUGAGUGACGGUAAUGGGUAAAGAAGCACCGGCUAACUACGU
rnacentral:rRNA from 1 species